rnacentral:pre_miRNA from 1 species
UAUUAAAAAUUACAUCAAUUUGUAUUGUUAAAAAACUUACAUGGUUGACGGAAUAACCAGACAAGAACACGUGACGUGCCACGUGUUCCUUAUGCUGAUGUACAGGAAUCAGUUUAACAACAAAAAUUAAUGAAAAAUUUUAACA